rnacentral:rRNA from 1 species
UCCGUUGCUUGCAACGGCGAAUUGUAGUCUCGAGAGGCGUUUUCGAAGCGGAUGAUCAGUGCUAAAGUUGCUUGGAACGGCACAUCAUAGAGGGUGACAAUCCCGUAUGUGGCACUGAAAACCGAACACGAUGCGCUUUCUAUGAGUCGGGUUGCUUGGGAAUGCAGCCCAAAAUGGGAGGUAAACUCCUUCUAAAGCUAAAUAUUGGCACGAGACCGAUAGCGAACAAGUACCGUGAGGGAAAGAUGAAAAGCACUUUGAAAAGAAAGUUAAUAGUACGUGAAACCGUUGAAAAGGAAGCGCAUGGAAUUAGCAAUGCGCUGUCGGGAUUCAGGUUGGCGUUGGUUGCUACGGAGUUGUGCGGAUCCGAAUGGACUGCCGGCUCAGUGAUUCUGCUGAUCGCAUUUCUUGGCAGUGUGCGUCAACAGGUGUUGGAACCGAGUGAUAAGCCUUGCGUGGAGGUGGCCAAUGAUUGGUGUUAUAAAACGUGAGUGCGAGCUCGGGUUCGACAGAGGCGGCGGCACAUGGGCUGGUCUCUCUCUUCUCUAUUCCAUGUCUAACGGAUCGGACUGCGUGCAGUGCGUUCUAUCUGCUUGGGAUUGGUUGGGAUGAUGGCUCACAUGUGCUAAGGUUGUUGGCGGUCAUAUGAUUUCAUGCGACCCGUCUUGAAACACGGACCAAGGAGUCUAACAUGUGUGCGAGUCUUCGGGUGACUGAAACCCUCGGGCACAAUGAAAGUAAAUGAGUGAGAUCUCGGGCGCAUCAUUGACCGACCUAUUCUAUUCUUAGAAAGGUUUGAGUAAGAGCACAUCUGUUGGGACCCGAAAGAUGGUGAACUAUGCUUGAGUAGGGCGAAGCCAGAGGAAACUCUGGUGGAGGCUCGUAGCGAUUCUGACGUGCAAAUCGAUCGUCAAACUUGGGUAUAGGGGCGAAAGACUAAUCGAACCAUCUAGUAGCUGGUUCCCUCCGAAGUUUCCCUUARGAUAGCUGGAACUCGGAACAGUUUUAUCAGGUAAAGCGAAUGAUUAGAGGUCUUAGGGUUGAAACAACCUUAACCUAUUCUCAAACUUUAAAUUGGUAAGAAGCCAUACUUACUUAGCUGAAGUUGGCACAGAAUGAGAGUUCUUAGUGGGCCAUUUUUGGUAAGCAGAACUGGCGAUGCGGGAUGAACCGAACGCUGAGUUAAGGCGCCUAAAUCGACGCUCAUCAGACCCCACAAAAGGUGUUGGUUGAUCCAGACAGCAGGACGGUGGCCAUGGAAGUCGGAACCCGCUAAGGAGUGUGUAACAACCCACCUGCCGAAUCAACUAGCCCUGAAAAUGGAUGGCGCUCAAGCGUCGUGCCUAUACUCAGCCGUCAAAGCAAAUCGCGAAGCUUUGACGAGUAGGAGGGCGUGGGGGUCGUGACGCAGCCUUUGGCGUGAGCCUGGGUGAAACGGCCUCUAGUGAAGAUCUUGGUGGUAGUAGCAAAUAUUCAAAUGAGAACUUUGAAGACCGAAGUGGAGAAAGGUUCCAUGUGAACAGCAGUUGGACAUGGGUUAGUCGAUCCUAAGAGAUAGGGAAACUCCGUUUCAAAGCGUCCAAUUUUGGACCACUUAUCGAAAGGGAAUCGGGUUAAUAUUCCCGAACCGGAACGCGGAUAUUCGUGCUAGAUGUGCGGUAACGCAACUGAACUCGGAGACGUCGGCAGGAGCCCUGGGAAGAGUUCUCUUUUCUUGUUAACGAUCUGACACCAUGGAAUCUGAUUGCCAGGAGAUAUGGUUUGAUGAUCGGUAAAGCAUUACACUUCUUGUAGUGUCCGGUGCGCUCCUGAAGGCCCUUGAAAAUCCGGGGGAAAGAUUAAUUUUCGCGUCUGUUCGUACUCAUAACCGCAGCAGGUCUCCUAGGUGAGCAGCCUCUGGUCGAUAGAACAAUGUA